UGCCCAAUGCGGGAAUCGAACCCGGGUCCUAGUGGUCGAAAACCAAACGGUUUACCCAGUGUUGUUACACCAUCAUCAGAC